rnacentral:rRNA from 1 species
UACGAAGGGGCGAGCGUUGUUCGGAAUUACUGGGCGUAAAGGGCGCGUAGGCGGCGACCCAAGUCAGAUGUGAAAGUCCUGGGCUUAACCUGGGGACUGCAUUUGAUACUGGGUUGCUUGAAUGCAGGAGAGGAUAGCGGAAUUCCCAGUGUAGAGGUGAAAUUCGUAGAUAUUGGGAAGAACACCGGUGGCGAAGGCGGCUAUCUGGACUGUGAUUGACGCUGAGGCGCGAAAGCGUGGGGAGCAAACGGG